rnacentral:rRNA from 1 species
UUUCCAGACUCCUACGGGAGGCAGCAGUGAGGAAUAUUGGUCAAUGGCCGGGAGGCUGAACCAGCCAAGUCGCGUGAGGGAAGACGGCCCUACGGGUUGUAAACCUCUUUUGUCAGGGAGCAAGGUGCAGGUCGGGACCUGCUGUGAGAGUACCUGAAGAAAAAGCAUCGGCUAACUCCGUGCCAGCAGCCGCGGUAAUACGGAGGAUGCGAGCGUUAUCCGGAUUUAUUGGGUUUAAAGGGUGCGCAGGCGGAGGCACAAGUCAGCGGUAAAAUCGCGGGGCUCAACCCCGGCCGGCCGUUGAAACUGGUUUUCUAGAGUUGGAGAGAAGUAUGCGGAAUUCGUGGUGUAGCGGUGAAAUGCAUAGAUAUCACGAAGAACUCCGAUUGCGAAGGCAGCAUACCGGCUCCAUACUGACGCUGAGGCACGAAAGCGUGGGGAUCGAACAGGAUUAGAUACCCCGGUAA